GACGAACGCUGGCGGCGUGCUUAACACAUGCAAGUCGAACGGAAAGGCCCUGCUUUUGUGGGAUGCUCGAGUGGCGAACGGGUGAGUAACACGUGAGUAACCUGCCCUUGACUUUGGGAUAACUUCAGGAAACUGGGGCUAAUACCGGAUAGGAGCUCCUGCUGCAUGGUGGGGGUUGGAAAGUUUCGGCGGUUGGGGAUGGACUCGCGGCUUAUCAGCUUGUUGGUGGGGUAGUGGCUUACCAAGGCUUUGACGGGUAGCCGGCCUGAGAGGGUGACCGGCCACAUUGGGACUGAGAUACGGCCCAGACUCCUACGGGAGGCAGCAGUGGGGAAUAUUGCAUAAUGGGCGGAAGCCUGAUGCAGCAACGCCGCGUGCGGGAUGACGGCCUUCGGGUUGUAAACCGCUUUCGCCUGUGACGAAGCGUGAGUGACGGUAAUGGGUAAAGAAGCACCGGCUAACUACGUG
rnacentral:rRNA from 1 species